UACGUAGGGUGCAAGCGUUGUCCGGAAUUAUUGGGCGUAAAGAGCUCGUAGGCGGUCUGUCGCGUCUGCUGUGAAAACUCGGGGCUUAACCCCGGGCCUGCAGUGGGUACGGGCAGACUAGAGUGCGGUAGGGGAGACUGGAAUUCCUGGUGUAGCGGUGAAAUGCGCAGAUAUCAGGAGGAACACCGGUGGCGAAGGCGGGUCGCUGGGCCGAAACUGACGCUGAGGAGCGAAAGCGUGGGGAGCAAACAGG
rnacentral:rRNA from 1 species